rnacentral:rRNA from 1 species
AUCUGUGGUUGUACCAUCUGUACACACCUGAUUUUGUCUCAACUCAGAAGCUGAGAAGGGUUGGGCUUGGUUAGUACUUGGAUAAGAGGGAAAAUAGCCACACACAGGUG